AAAUGAAUAGACGGGGGCCCGCACAAGCGGAGGAACAUGUGGUUUAAUUCGAUGAUACGCGAGGAACCUUACCCGGGCUCGAACGGUGCAGGAAUAAAGCAGAGAUGUUUUAGCUAGCAAUAGUCUGUAUCGAGGUGCUGCAUGGUUGUCGUCAGCUCGUGCCGUGAGGUGUCGGCUUAAGUGCCAUAACGAGCGCAACCCUUGUCGUUAGUUACCAUCAGGUUAUGCUGGGGACUCUAGCGAGACUGCCACCGUAAGGUGAGAGGAAGGGGGGGAUGACGUCAAAUCAGCACGGCCCUUACGUCCGGGGCGACACACGUGUUACAAUGGUAGGUACAGAGGGUAGCUACCCAGCGAUGGGGUGCCAAUCUCUAAAGCCUAUCUCAGUUCGGAUCGGAGUCUGCAACUCGACUCCGUGAAGUUGGAUUCGCUAGUAAUCGCGCAUCAGCCAUGGCGCGGUGAAUACGUUCCCGGGCCUUGUACACACCGCCCGU
rnacentral:rRNA from 1 species